UACGUAGGGAGCAAGCGUUGUCCGGAAUCAUUGGGCGUAAAGCGCGCGUAGGCGGCCCUGUAAGUCCGUUGUGAAAGUCAAAGGCUCAACCUUUGAAAGCCGAUGGAUACUGCAGGGCUAGAGUCCGGAAGAGGCGAGUGGAAUUCCUGGUGUAGCGGUGAAAUGCGCAGAUAUCAGGAGGAACACCAGUGGCGAAGGCGGUGCGUCU
rnacentral:rRNA from 1 species